rnacentral:rRNA from 1 species
GACGAACGCUGGCGGCGUGCUUAACACAUGCAAGUCGAACGGAAAGGCCCUGCUUUUGUGGGGCGCUCGAGUGGCGAACGGGUGAGUAACACGUGAGUAACCUGCCCUUGACUUUGGGAUAACUUCAGGAAACUGGGGCUAAUACCGGAUAGGAGCUCCUGCUGCAUGGUGGGGGUUGGAAAGUUUCGGCGGUUGGGGAUGGACUCGCGGCUUAUCAGCUUGUUGGUGGGGUAGUGGCUUACCAAGGCUUUGACGGGUAGCCGGCCUGAGAGGGUGACCGGCCACAUUGGGACUGAGAUACGGCCCAGACUCCUACGGGAGGCAGCAGUGGGGAAUAUUGCACAAUGGGCGGAAGCCUGAUGCAGCAACGCCGCGUGCGGGAUGACGGCCUUCGGGUUGUAAACCGCUUUCGCCUGUGACGAAGCGUGAGUGACGGUAAUGGGUAAAGAAGCACCGGCUAACUACGU